rnacentral:ncRNA from 2 species
UACGUAUCAAUAGCGCCAGAACUUGUGAGGGUGCCAUGGGAAGAUGGCCAGGCAAUUCAAGCGAUAAGAGACAAGCUGUUUAAGUAAUAGUUGUCGGGCUUGGAAUGGAUGAUAUCCCGUAGGCAGCCGCUUGCAAGUUGACGAGGUGAAGGUGUUCGGAAUAUUCGGCGGGGACCUUCCGGUAGCGGCUCUACCGUUAAGUUGGAAUGCAAAGCACAUGGGUGACUGUGUGUACAAGAUUCCAGCAUGACCGAUG